AAUAGAUACCCGGGUAGUCCACGCCGUAAACGAUGAGUGCUAAGUGUUAGGGGGUUUCCGCCCCUUAGUGCUGCAGCUAACGCAUUAAGCACUCCGCCUGGGGAGUACGGUCGCAAGACUGAAACUCAAAGGAGUUGACGGGGGCCCGCACAAGCGGUGGAGCAUGUGGUUUAAUUCGAAGCAACGCGAAGAACCUUACCAGGUCUUGACAUCCCAUUGACCACUAUGGAGACAUAGUUUUCCCUUCGGGGACAACGGUGACAGGUGGUGCAUGGUUGUCGUCAGCUCGUGUCGUGAGAUGUUGGGUUAAGUCCCGCAACGAGCGCAACCCUUGUUCUUAGUUGCCAUCAUUUAGUUGGGCACUCUAAGGAGACUGCCGGUGACAAACCGGAGGAAGGUGGGGAUGACGUCAAAUCAUCAUGCCCCUUAUGACCUGGGCUACACACGUGCUACAAUGGACGGUACAAACGGUUGCCAACCCGCGAGGGGGAGCUAAUCCGAUAAAACCGUUCUCAGUUCGGAUUGUAGGCUGCAACUCGCCUACAUGAAGCC
rnacentral:rRNA from 1 species